rnacentral:rRNA from 1 species
UACGUAGGAUCCAAGCGUUGUCCGGAUUUACUGGGUGUAAAGGGUGCGCAGGCGGACUUAUAAGUCAGGGGUGAAAUCUCACUGCUCAACAGUGAAACUGCCUUUGAUACUGUAGGUCUUGAAUUAGGGAGAGAUUCGUGGAAUUCCGAGUGUAGCAGUGAAAUGUGUAAGAUAUUCGGAAGAACACCAGAGGCGAAGGCAGCGAAUUGGCCCUAUAUUG